CCAAAGCACCUAGCAGGGUAAUAGAGAUUUUUUGGUGUCAAAUAGAGUAGUUUUUAGUACGAGUUGCCAUUUACAUUAUUUUAGACAGGAGUCGCCGUGAGAUGCCGCAUUGGAGGCAAAUUUGAAAACGAAAACGUUGUUACUGCGAAGGGUUUUCAUUUAACUUUUAUUAAAGAAUUUACAUUCAGUUACGUAAUUUAGUUAUUUGUAUGCAGACUGCUAACGUGAUGUUAGAUUAUUUGUUAAAAUAUUGUACAUUUCAGUGAUCAUAUUUUCAUUGAAAGAACGUUCGUGCCUAUUUUUCGAAUAUAUCUUGGCUCUUACCGCAUUUUUAAGAGUGUAAAAAUCUUAUAAAAUAAAAAUGACAUUUGACACUGCCAAAAUUACCUACUUUAUUUUUUUCUAUUACCCUGCUUGGUGCUUUGACAUAUCGUAUCGUCUGUCGAUAAAAACUGUAGAACUCAAC